rnacentral:rRNA from 1 species
GUGCAAAGGUAGCAUAAUCACUUGUUCCUUAAAUAGGGACUUGUAUGAAUGGCUUGACGAGGGUUUAACUGUCUCUUAUUCUCAAUCAGUGAAAUUGACCUUCCCGUGAAGAGGCGGGAAUAAACCAAUAAGACGAGAAGACCCUAUGGAGCUUAAAUUUUAUAGUCUAGCAUAAAAACCAAUUACACCUAUAAGGUCACAAACUUAUUGCUUACAGACUACAAAUUUUGGUUGGGGUGACCUCGGAGUACAAAACAACCUCCGAAUGAUUCUAAUCUAGACUACACCCGUCUAAAUUAAUAUUCAUAAAUUGACCCAAAAUUUUGAUCAACGGAACAAGUUACCCUAGGGAUAACAGCGCAAUCCUACUCAAGAGUCCAUAUCGACAGUUAGGGUUUACGACCUCGAUGUUGGAUCAGGACAUCCAAAUGGU